CAGGCCUGAAGUCAAGCAAGAAAACCCACUGAAUUUAAGCAUAUAA
rnacentral:rRNA from 1 species